rnacentral:rRNA from 1 species
AAUAAGCGGAGGAAAAGAAACUAACAAGGAUUCCCCUAGUAACGGCGAGUGAAGAGGGAAAGAGCCCAAGUUUGAAAGCUGGCACCUUGGGGUGUCCGCAUUGUAAACUCGAGAAGUGUUAUCCGCGCCGGACCAGGCUUUUUAAGUCCAUUGGAAUAUGGCACCAUAGAGGGUGAUAGUCCCUUUCAUGGUCUGGAACCCCCGGGGCUUUGUGAUGCGCUCUCCAAGAGUCGAGUUGUUUGGGAAUGCAGCUCAAAAUGGGUGGUAAAUGUCAUCUAAGGCUAAAUAUAGAGGAGAGACCGAUAGCGAACAAGUACCGUGAGGGAAAGAUGAAAAGAACUUUGGAAAGAGAGUUAAACAGUACGUGAAAUUGCCGGAAGGGAAGGACAGGGAGUCAGACAUGGACCUUGCGGAUUCAGCCUGACCUUUCGAGGUUGGGUGUAUUUCCGCUUGGACCAGGCCAGCAUCGAUUUUGGCUGCCGGAUAUGGGUGAGGGGAACGUGGCAUUUGUUUCGGCAAAUGUGUUAUAGCCCUUGACUUGGUACGGCGGCUGGGAUCGAGGAACGCAGUGCACCCUUCGGGGCAGGCCUUCGGGCACCUUUGCACAUAGGAUGUUGGCUUAAUGGCU